UCCGGCUUGCCACCGGCAGUUCCUUUAGAGUGCCCACCCAAACGUGAUGGCAACUAAAGGCGAGGGUUGCGCUCGUUGCGGGACUUAACCCAACAUCUCACGACACGAGCUGACGACAGCCAUGCAGCACCUGUGUUCUAGCCAGCCGAACUGAAGAAAGGCAUCUCUGCCGAUCACACUAGACAUGUCAAACGUGGGUAAGGUUCUGCGCGUCGCUUCGAAUUAAACCACAUGCUCCACCGCUUGUGCGGGCCCCCGUCAAUUUCUUUGAGUUUUAACCUUGCGGCCGUACUCCCCAGGCGGAGAGCUUAAUGCGUUAGCUGCGUCACCAAUAAGCAUGCUUACUGACAACUAGCUCUCAUCGUUUACAGCGUGGACUAC
rnacentral:misc_RNA from 1 species